rnacentral:rRNA from 1 species
UAAGAGGUCCCGCCUGCCCAGUGACUCUUAGUUUAACGGCCGCGGUAUCUUAACCGUGCGAAGGUAGCGUAAUCACUUGUCUCUUAAAUGGGGACCUGUAUGAAUGGCAUAACGAGGGCUUAGCUGUCUCCUUCCUCAUGUUAAUGAAAUUGACCUCCCCGUGCAGAGGCGGGGAUUUAUUCAUAAGACGAGAAGACCCUAUGGAGCUUUAGGCACAAAACUGCUCAUGUUGAAAACUCCCCCUAAAAAGAGUUAACUUUGUGAGGACAGCUUCAGCGCCUUUGGUUGGGGUGACCGCGGGGAAAUGACCAACCCCCAUGUGGACGGGGCCUUAGGCCUAAAAACAAGAGUGACUACUCUAACUAACAGAACUUCUGACCUUACUGAUCCGGUGGCCGAUCAACGAACCCAGUUACCCUAGGGAUAACAGCGCAAUCCUCUUACAGAGCCCAUAUCGACAAGAGGGUUUACGACCUCGAUGUUGGAUCAGGAUGUCCUAAUGGUGCAGCCGCUAUUAAGGGUUCGUU